ACGGGAGGCAGCAGUGAGGAAUAUUGGUCAAUGGGCGGGAGCCUGAACCAGCCAAGUAGCGUGGAGGACGACGGCCCUACGGGUUGUAAACUCCUUUUGCCGGGGGAUAAAAAACGGGACGCGUCCCGUCUUGCAGGUACCCGCGCGAAUAAGGACCGGCUAAUUCCGUGCCAGCAGCCGCGGUAAUACGGAAGGUCCGAGCGUUAUCCGGAUUUAUUGGGUUUAAAGGGAGCGUAGGCGGGAAGUCAAGUCAGCUGUGAAAUGUAGACGCUCAACGUCUGCACUGCAGUUGAAACUGGUUUUCUUGAGUGCGUAAGAGGCAGGCGGAAUUCGUCGUGUAGCGGUGAAAUGCUUAGAUAUGACGAAGAACUCCUAUUGCGAAGGCAGCUUGCUGGGCCGCAACCGACGCUGAAGCUCGAAGGUGCGGGUAUCGAACAGGAUUAGAUACCCUGGUA
rnacentral:rRNA from 1 species